UUACGGCCAUAUCACUUUAAAACAUUGGUUCUCGUACGAUCACCGAAGUUAAGCAACAUCGAACCUGGUUAAUAGCCUAGACGGAUGAGCGCUUGGGAAUACCAGGUGCUGUAAGC